rnacentral:rRNA from 1 species
CCUACGGGGGGCUGCAGUAGGGAAUAUUGCACAAUGGGGGAAACCCUGAUGCAGCGACGCCGCGUGAGUGAUGAAGGCCUUCGGGUCGUAAAGCUCUGUUCUACGUGACGAAAAAAAUGACGGUAGCGUAGAAGAAAGGACCGGCUAACUUCGUGCCAGCAGCCGCGGUAAUACGAGGGGUCCUAGCGUUGUUCGGAAUCAUUGGGCGUAAAGCGUCUGUAGGCGGCUUUGUAAGUCAGGUGUGAAAGCCCCGGGCUCAACCCGGGAAGUGCAUU